CGUUCUCCACGCUUCCCUCGCCGCUCUCCUCGUCUGAACGGCGGCGGUAGCUAUGUUUAGAGAAAAAACCUGGAGUUCACCAGGCUGGCUGAAGUUGUGAGGCUGGGAGGCUGAUGGUGCUGCUACUGGCUGAUCCUUCUUCUUUCAGCUUUUGUUCGUCCUUUCUCAAGCCGUUGGACCAGGGCUACUUCCCUAUGUGUUGUUAAUGUAUUAAGUAGUUCCUUCGAAUUUGUAGUAUUAGUUAGUUUGAAUGUGGAAGUACCUUAAUUUUUAGGAACGAAAUGUUGCUUUGUAUGACCAAGGGUUUGAUACCUUAAUCUUUGGAUAAUUAAUUAUGUGAACUGUUGGA